CCAAACUUGGUCAUUUAGAGGAAGUAAAAGUCGUAACAAGGUUUCCGUAGGUGAACCUGCGGAAGGAUCAUUAUUGAAUAUAGUAUGCCUUGAUGGGUUGUCGCUGACCUCUUUUGAGGUAUGUGCACACCUGUCUUGACUCUAUUCAUCCACCUGUGCACGAAUUGUAGUCUUUUCGUUCUCUUUGGGUUUACAAAUGCUAGGUACAGGACAGUUGAAACAUACUGGAUUUGAGACUUGGCUCUUUGAGGCUUGUCUCUAUUACCUUCUGGCAAUUGUUAUCCAAUUGAGAAAGAGACUAUGUAUUUUAUCACAUACCCCAUUGUAUGUUACCUGAAUGUUUUCACUGGGCUUUUGUGCCUAUAAAAUCUUAUACAACUUUCAGCAACGGAUCUCUUGGCUCUCGCAUCGAUGAAGAACGCAGC
rnacentral:misc_RNA from 1 species